rnacentral:rRNA from 1 species
CAGCAGCCACGGGAAUACGGAGGGGGCCAGCGUUGUUCGGAAUUACUGGGCGUAAAGCGCACGUAGGCGGCUUGGUAAGUUAGAGGUGAAAGCCUGGAGCUCAACUCCAGAAUUGCCUUUAAGACUGCCGAGCUAGCAGGUGAGAGAGGUAAGUGGAAUUCCGAGUGUAGAGGUGAAAUUCGUAGAUAUUCGGAAGAACACCAGUGGCGAAGGCGGCUUACUGGCUCAUACUGGACGCUGAGGUGCGAAAGCGUGGGGAGCAAACAGGAUUAGAUACCCCCGUAGUCCCUGUCUCUUAUAC